rnacentral:lncRNA from 1 species
CCCCAUUCAUGUCUAUGGAAUUGUUAUCAUACACCAGCCAAAAAAGUAGGAAAUAAAUAGAACAUUUUUGCUACUGGAUUCCAGUAGGUUUUCGAACUACAAGUUUAAAUGUUAACAGUAUUGCAAAUUCUUAUUAAGUCUUCUGGGAAACAUUACAUUUUCUUUGAAAAGGAGGAUAAAACAAACAAACAAAACCCCAUCCUUGGGUAAUUCAGUGCUAUAAAGCUUUUGUGCAAAGAUACGGUCAUUAAAUCUCAGAAGGAGAAUUAAAAUAAGCAUUCUAAUUUAGCCAUUCUUUCUUUUAUAAACUGAUACCCUUUUAUUGCUUUUGUGGCACUAGGGAGGAAAGCUGCCUGCCACCUGCCUUCCAAGGAACUGCCAGUUUUGCCUGCAGAAAAUAGCCCAUCUGCUAAGUUUCAUUCUUCAGCCCAGGUUACUGGUGAAGACUUUAUAUGUACAUCCUUGUUUUUAAUACUUCCAGCUGUUCAUUUUUCCCAUGAAAGGAAAUCCUUGGGUAGAAACAUAACAAUCCUGAAGACUCAAACUGAGCUGGUUGGCUGGAUGAUUGAAGGGGACAGGUAGCAUUUGCAUGUUUUCAAUCUGAGUGCCUGAUUCAAAUGCUCCACUGAAAGCCAUCGCUCCCGGUGGGCUUUGUAGCAGUCUCUGGAAAUGGAACUGGGACUUUCAGUCCACAGGAGGCAGUCAUUCAAGAAAGACGCUAUCAGUAAUACUUAUGAAAAGUUGAGCCUAAUGGUUGUCAGAUGCUGUUUUAUAACACUAGCAGAUAAAAACAGAAGCACAUGCUGCGCAGGCUUCCUGAAGGCUUGCAGUAUGGAAGAAUUUGAAAAUGGACAUGAAAGAAAAUAG